CCUUUGACGUUAGCGGCGGACGGGUGAGUAACACGUGGGUAACCUACCUAUAAGACUGGGAUAACUUCGGGAAACCGGAGCUAAUACCGGAUAAUAUUUCGAACCGCAUGGUUCGAUAGUGAAAGAUGGUUUUGCUAUCACUUAUAGGUGGACCCGCGCCGUAUUAGCUAGUUGGUAAGGUAACGGCUUACCAAGGCGACGAUACGUAGCCGACCUGAGAGGGUGAUCGGCCACACUGGAACUGAGACACGGUCCAGACUCCUACGGGAGGCAGCAGUC
rnacentral:rRNA from 1 species